rnacentral:rRNA from 1 species
CAAUAGCGUAUAUUAAAGUUGUUGCAGUUAAAAAGCUCGUAGUUGGAUUUCUGGUUGGAGCGACCGGUCGGGCAUUGAUUUGUCUGCACUGGAGUCGGUUCUGGCCAUCUUCUUGGAAAGUGCGUCUGUCAUUAAGUUAUCGGGCGUAUGAUCCAGGUCUUUUACUGUGAAAAAAUUAGAGUGUUUAAAGCAGGCCUUCGCCUUGAAUACAUUAGCAUGGAAUAAUAAGAUAGGACUUUGGUCUAUUUUGUUGGUUUGCAGACCGAAGUAAUGAUUAAUAGGGAUAGUUGGGGGUAUUUAUAUUCCAAUGUCAGAGGUGAAAUUCUUAGAUUUUUGGAAGAUAAACUUAUGCGAAAGCAUUUACCAAGGAUGUUUUCAUUAA